UUUAGUUCUCCUGUCAAACCCAAACCGAGCUUUGUCAAAUUUUUUAUUACUGAAUUAUGUAAAAGCCCUACUAUAAUAUUUAUUUAUUAAUACACCGGUAUUAGUGUACCGAACUAUAAAACAGUCUUCUCCAUCAAUUGUAACAACCGUUACUAGCAAACAUGGUUAAAGGAAAAGGUAAAGACCCUGAAGACUCUUACAGUACCAAGUUGGACAUGUGCCUUACUGAUGGCAUCGUUAAAACAACCAGUGGCAUCAUACUUGGUACAGUAGUAUCAGUCUUUUACUUUAGUCAUCGGAGAUGGCCCAUCGUAGCUGGAAUAGGCAUGGGUGUGGGCAUUGCUUACGCCAACUGCGAGUAUGAACUAAAUCCUAGAAAGAAUGAUCAUCAUUAAUAAUAAUAUCAUAGUAGGGACUACAGUUUCAGCCUUCGAGACAAACCCAAACCGCCAUGUGAACCACAGAAAAACACAAAAACAACGUGCAACCGCCAGUAACAUUAUACAGAAAACAUCAUUUGUUGUACAAAUAUAUUUUAUUUAUAGUAAUUAAAUACCGUUAAAAAAUUUGAAUCUUUUCGUUUUUUCGGUUUUCAUUUUUUAUUGUUGUUUGAUGUGUGGUCGGCCGUAAAUCAGAGUUAACAACAAUUAUUGAAACUCACUGUUUGAAAUCAGGGGGCUGUCAAUCUAGUAUACAUUUCACUACUGAUUUGCGGUCGACAACAUGUAUAAGUUUCAACGUAAAUACGGCGGUACUGGUAUUCAUUAAACUUAACAUUACUUAGAUGAAUAAAGAUGUAGUAUCGUUUA